UGGCUCAGUGGUAGAGCGCUUGCCUCGCAAGCAUGAGGCCCUGGGUUCGAUUCCUCAG
rnacentral:tRNA from 1 species